rnacentral:rRNA from 1 species
AGUGAACGCUGGCGGUAGGCCUAACACAUGCAAGUCGAACGGCAGCACAGUAAGAGCUUGCUCUUACGGGUGGCGAGUGGCGGACGGGUGAGGAAUACAUCGGAAUCUACUUUUUCGUGGGGGAUAACGUAGGGAAACUUACGCUAAUACCGCAUACGACCUACGGGUGAAAGCAGGGGAUCUUCGGACCUUGCGCGAUUGAAUGAGCCGAUGUCGGAUUAGCUAGUUGGCGGGGUAAAGGCCCACCAAGGCGACGAUCCGUAGCUGGUCUGAGAGGAUGAUAGGCCACACUGGAACGGAGACAGGGACAAGACGACUAAGGGAGGCAGCAGUGGGGAAUAGUGGACAAUGGGCGCAAGCAUGAUCCAGCCAUACCGCGUGGGUGAAGAAGGCCUUCGGGUUGUAAAGACGUUUUGUUGGGAAAGAAAAGCAGCAGGUUAAUACCACGCUGUUCUGACGGUACCCAAAGAAUAAGCACCGGCUAACUUCGUG